rnacentral:lncRNA from 1 species
AUUCUAAUGCUAAUUUGGGGCCCCCAAGACUGGUUGCCCCAGAGACAAGGAGAGAGAAUUGGUAAAUAAAGAUGCCAACAGCUAAGAGCUGGGCAGAAGGGACAUAAGUGGGGUUUAGGUUUUCCAGGCUUGGGGUCAGAGGAGGACCAGGAAAAGAAGACUGUUCAGGAGGAGCAAAGAACCAGCCAUGGGUUAAAGGUCAAAAAAGCAUGGCUCUGAGGGCUGCCCAACUGGAGUUAAGAGCAGCUCAGAAGGAACAUAGCACAUAGUAAUAAAUCAGGGUUAUCAAUAGGAAAGUGUAUUCUAACAGCAUGGAGGGUAGGGAGCUGCCCAGGUAUUGUGCUGUUUAGGGCUUAUUGUAAAUAUAAAGGCUGCGAGUAUCUUUCAUCUGGGAAUUCAGUAACCUAGGUGGGGUAGAAACCCCUGACCAGGAUUAGAGAAAAUUCUAAAACAGCUAUCAUAGAUUGGACUGGGUCUUAGCCCAGAUGGUAGCUACCACUGUUUGGACUGGGUCAUAGCCCAGAUGGUAGCAUGCUUUCCAAUUUUGAGGGAGGUCCAGGGUUUGAUACCAUAGCACCACGUAUCCUGGGUAUGGAAGUGCAUUCCUGUAAUCUCAAUGGUACGAAGGUGGCAGCAGGAGAAUCUGGAGUUUAAGGUCAUUCUCAGUUUGAGGCCAGCUUAGGGUCUGUUAGACCUUGUAUAAACACAUAUAUGAAAAUAAAAUUUCCACUGAGUGCAGGGGCAAAUGUUGGGGUUGGGGGAAGCAAGCAGCAGAGUUCAAACGUUCAAGCUGAGACACAGCACCUUUGGGAUGAUUGCUACAGAUGUCAAAUGGGAAGUUGCAGAUACAAGCCUGCAGUUUAGAAGGACAUUCUAGGGAGGGGAUAUGAGAUGACAGAUGGCAUUAUGGAAGCCACAGGAACACACGAGAUUGCUCAAGCAGAGGGUGUACACCAGUGAAGAAAAGACAACAACAAAAAUAUAGCUCAAGAAAUGAGACAAGCCCACACCAGAUCUGCAGAUCCAGCAAAUUAGCUUGUUUUUUUUUUUUUUUCCUUCUUAACCAAAGUUUGUGGGCCUUCAAUGAUGUUGGUGCCUAAAUAUAAAAAUCUUUGAUGUCU